CAACCAAAUGUUUUCAUUUGAAUUUCACCAAUUUGAUUCAUUUUCUUCUUUAAAAAUGAUUGCAUUACAUUUCUUCUCUAUAAGAAAUGUGUCUAUAAAAGAUUUCAUGUACGGGUUUGAAAAAUAUGAAUAGAAUCUAUUUUUUAUUUUCAUAAAUUUUGAUUAAAAAGGUGAAACGUCUUGUAUUUGACAUAACUGGACAUGAUUUAUUAGAUAUUAAUAUCAUGCAUUCACACCAAAUUUUAAUCUCUACAAUGUGUUACAGACUUGCAACCAAAACAGAUUUUUCACUUUCUCAUUUAAAAACAAAAAAAAUUAAUAAAAGAAUUAAAAGCAGAUAUAUAUUACACAACAAAAUCACCUUUCAGAUAUAAAUAUGAUAGUUUAACGAUCCAUGACAUAAAAUUAUGGUAUUGCAUUCCGCCUUAAUACUGGUACUCAUAAUGUAAAUAAGCACAUAUACAUCGUUCUUUUACAUAAAUUCUUCAUUUGUUGUUUUGAUCGGUUUUUUUAUCUAUGCCAAUCCAUUCAAGCUUAGAAGACGAAGUAGUUGUUUUCUUAAUACAUUCAACAACAAUGCAACUAUUAUUAAGAAAAAUGUUGAGAAUUAUUUCUGUAUUUAGGUUGUAUAUGUGGGGGUUGUGUGUGUGUUAUAGAAUAGUGUAUAUAUACACUUUCUCUCCGGUGUGUAUUGUUUAAGGGGGAAUCAUGUUUUAAGGUAAAGGAAAUUCGAGAUCCAGAGAGUCAAUGUGCCGUAACAUCUUGAAUGUAUUUGAAUUAGAUCCAAGCAAAUAUAUUAAUUGUUUUAAAAUUAAAAUAAAUUUAACAAAAAUGAUGUUAAUUCUCAAGGAUUUUAGUUUUUUCAUGAUUUUUCAUUUGAUUAUACAUCAUUGGAUUUUAGUAUUGGUUAGUUACGAAAACAAGGAUGUACAUUGUCUUUGAAAAAGGGUCAAUUCAUAUUAAAAUCAAUUAUGUGCACCACAGCAUGAAGGGACUCUGAUUUUCAAAUUUUAAUUUAUGGUUUUCGUGAAGAUAUCAAAAUCUCACUUCUCAAAAUAUGGCAAGGACAAUCACAUUGAAGAGACUAGCCUAUUACUUUGUCAUACGCAGAUUAUCUUGCAUAAUACAUGUAUAUAGAAUGCAUUGUUUAUAUUGAUGCUGUCUCAUUUAUUAGAUAACGUACAUGAAUGAUUUUGUGUUUUUCCUCGGUUAUAUUGUUUUUUUCAUAAAAUAAAGAAAUAGUUCAACUGC
rnacentral:sRNA from 1 species